ensembl:snoRNA
GUGGCAUCUUAAACAGGUCUUGGCCUCAGUGCGGUAGGCCAGGAUUUGGUAGCUGGUGCUAACAUGAAGUCUCGGCCUGCAGUAUAAUACUGGCUCUCACUGUGCCUGUUGGACCACUCAGAGAGAGAAACACAU